AUUUAUCUUCGGGAUAGGUAGUAGUUAAGGUGAUGGCUUAACUAGCUUAAAAUUCUCGUAGUCGAAGCUGAAAGGUUGAUCGACCACAUUGGGUCUGAAAAAACCCCAAUGCAAGUUAGUACAGCAGUGAGGAAUCUUGGUCAAUGGCCUAACGGCUGAACUGGCAACUUGGAGAAGUGGCAAAUCUUAUUUUUGAUUAUAAUUUUAGAUAAUCUAUAAGAUUGUAUUAAAAUUGAAUAAAACUUUGUUUAUAUAUUGAUAAUGACAAUAUAUAUAUCGUGUCUUGACUAAUUACGUGCCAGCAGUCGCGGUAAUACGUAAGAGACUAGUGUUAUUCAUCUUAAUUAGGUUUAAAGGGUCCCUAGACGGUCAAUAUAGCUUCUAGAAUGUUAGUACUUGACUAGAGUUUGAUGUAAGGGGGCAGUACUUGAGGAGGAGAGAUGAAAUUCUAUUAUACCAAAGGGACUCGGUAAAGGCGAAGGCAGCCCUUUAUGUAAAAACUGACGUUGAAGGACGAAGGCACAGAGCACAAACAGGAUUAGAUACCCAAGUAGUCUUUGCAGUAAAUGAUGAAUGCCAUAGGUUAGAUUAAAU
rnacentral:rRNA from 1 species